rnacentral:piRNA from 1 species
UACAUUCGCAAAAAGCGGUACAGCUGGU